rnacentral:misc_RNA from 1 species
UCCGGCUUAACGCCGGCAGUCCCUCCAGAGUGCCCAACUUAAUGAUGGCAACAGGAGGCGUGGGUUGCGCUCGUUACGGGACUUAACCCAACAUCUCACGACACGAGCUGACGACAGCCAUGCAGCACCUGUGUUCCAGUCCCCUUGCGGGGAAAACCGACUUUCAUCGGCGAUCCGGACAUGUCAAGACCAGGAUAAGGUUUUUCGCGUUGCGUCGAAUUGAACCACAUGCUCCACUGCUUGUGCGGGUCCCCGUCAAUUUCUUUGAGUUUUAAUCUUGCGACCGUACUCCCCAGGCGGGAUGCUUAACGCGUUAGCUUCGUUACUGAAAGGGUUUACUCUCCCAACAACAAGCAUCCAUCGUUUACGGCGUGGACUAC